UUUGGGGAAGAACUUGUAACCAAAGGGUGUGGUUCUGAUGGGAAAAUGAAGAGAUACUUGGAUUAAAUCUGGUAUGGGCCAGAAGGAUUCACUGUGUGGAUGCCUAGAAGGGAGUCUGGUGGCGGUAGAGCUGAUGAUGCUGGAAUCUACUCCUUUGCAGCAGAUUCUGGAACUUGGAAGCAACAGUAGACAGGACAUAGAAGAGCUGCAUGGGUCACUGUGGAAAAUACUCUCCUUUCUUCGGGCAGCACACAUCCUCAGUUGCCGCUCUCAGGAUGACGUGUUAUCUGCCACAGCAACAACCUGCAAGCCCCACCCUCAGACAGGCUUCCAGUGAGUUUACAUGCAGAUGGAGUUGCAGAAGAGCCCUCUCCAAAAUCUUGGAAAUAAUAUCAUGCCCAGAAUUAUUGCCAAAAUCCUGGGAAGUAAAAACACAGAUUUAAAGGAGAGGCCGAAAGGUCUGACAUGCCAGACGGAAUACUCUGAGGAACCUGACAUUGAUGGGAAGCAGCAGUUCCUCCAGAGACCACGAGUUCUGUGCUCUCCGAGGUCCGCUCUCCACCCCAGGGCUGAGGCAUCAGUGGUCAGACAUAGCAAGGGGUGGGGAUUGGAAAAGGCGACUCCUGCACACACCAAGUGCGGGUCGAGCCACCACUAAAGAGACUCGAGAACCCGCAGUGGAAGGGUUCUGAGCGACCCGCCUCAAGAGUUCUGCUGUCGUGAAGGGGAGGCCCUGAGGAUGUUCCUGCCACUGCCUCAUCUGAGAGACUAUGCUAGAGGAUCGCUUGUGAAGACGGAAGACGAAACGCUCCAACGACCGUCACUGGCGGUAAGAAGGAACUGGAGGCAGGGCCCUAUAUGCGCACCAUGAAGGCACGACUCCAGGGGGCUCCACAGCCGACCCGACAGGUGUUGCUAGGGGAAAAACCUUCCGGCGACUGUGCAUGCGGUGUGCGCACACACACCUAAUCGGAAUCGAUAUGAGCAAGCACUUGAAGAAGAACUGUGCUCCAGGACUAGAGGGAGGGAUUAUAAACCCUUCUAUGAAGUGCCGUGGAGCCAAUAUGCUUUGGUGAAACACAAGAGUGUAGCAAAUCAACCCAGAGCCUCCUUCUAAAGACAAUGAGGGGGCUGAAUGCACGCAGCAGGAGGCAUGUACUCCUUAAAAGGACCAGGGGGGAGGGAUAGCUCAGUGGUUUGCGCAUGGGCCUGCUAAACCCAGGGUUAUGAGUUCAAUCCACGAGGG